rnacentral:rRNA from 1 species
UGGGGAAUUUGGACAAUGGGCGCAAGCCUGAUCCAGCCAUGCCGCGUGCAGGAAGAAGCAUCUAUGGUGUGUAAACUGCUUUUGUACGGGAAGAAACACUCCUACGUGUAGGAGCUUGACGGUACCGUAAGAAUAAGGAUCGGCUAACUCCGUGCCAGCAGCCGCGGUAAUACGGAGGAUCCAAGCGUUAUCCGGAAUCAUUGGGUUUAAAGGGUCCGUAGGCGGUUUAAUAAGUCAGUGGUGAAAGCCCAUCGCUCAACGAUGGAACGGCCAUUGAUACUGUUAGACUUGAAUUACAAGGAAGUAACUAGAAUAUGUAGUGCAGCGGUGAAAUGCUUAGAUAUUACAUGGAAUACCAAUUGCGAAGGCAGGUUACUACUUGUGGAUUGACGCUGAUGGACGAAAGCGUGGGGAGCGAACA